rnacentral:rRNA from 1 species
UACGAAGGGGGCUAGCGUUGUUCGGAAUUACUGGGCGUAAAGCGCACGUAGGCGGAUAUUUAAGUCAGGGGUGAAAUCCCAGAGCUCAACUCUGGAACUGCCUUUGAUACUGGGUAUCUCGAGUAUGGAAGAGGUGAGUGGAAUUCCGAGUGUAGAGGUGAAAUUCGUAGAUAUCGAGAGGAACACCAGUGGCGAAGGCGAGUCCCUGGACAACACCUGACACUGAGGCACGAAAGCUAGGGGAGCAAACAGG